rnacentral:rRNA from 1 species
AUUGAACGCUGGCGGCAGGCCUAACACAUGCAAGUCGAACGAGUGGCGGACGGGUGAGUAAUGUCUGGGAAACUGCCUGAUGGCGGGGGAUAACUACUGGAAACGGUAGCUAAUACCGCAUACCAUCAGAUGUGCCGAGAUGGGAUUAGCUUGUUGGUGGGGUAACGGCUCACCAAGGCGACGAGCCCGUGAUGGUCUGAGAGGAUGACCGGCCACACUGGAACUGAUACAGGGUCCAUACGCCGUCGUGAGUCAGCAGUGGGGAAUAUUUCGCAAUGGGCGCAAGCCAGAUGCAGCCAUGCCGCGUGUAUGAAGAAGGCCUUCGGGUUGUAAAGGACUUUCAGCGUGGAGGCGUUACCCGCAGAAUAAACAGCGGCUAACGCCGUGGCAGCAGCCGCGGUAAUAG